AGAGUUUGAUCCUGGCUCAGGAUGAACGCUGGCGGCGUGCCUAAUACAUGCAAGUCGAACGAAACUUCUUUAUCACCGAGUGCUUGCACUCACCGGUAAAGGGUUGAGUGGCGAACGGGUGAGUAACACGUGGGCAACCUGCCCAAAAGAGGGGGAUAACACUUGGAAACAGGUGCUAAUACCGCAUAACCAUAGUUACCGCAUGGUAGCUAUGUAAAAGGUGGCUAUGCUACCGCUUUUGGAUGGGCCCGCGGCGCAUUAGCUAGUUGGUGGGGUAAAGGCUUACCAAGGCAAUGAUGCGUAGCCGAACUGAGAGGUUGAUCGGCCACAUUGGGACUGAGACACGGCCCAAACUCCUACGGGAGGCAGCAGUAGGGAAUCUUCCACAAUGGGCGAAAGCCUGAUGGAGCAACGCCGCGUGGGUGAAGAAGGUCUUCGGAUCGUAAAACCCUGUUGUUAGAGAAGAAAGUGCGUGAGAGUAACUGUUCACGUUUCGACGGUAUCUAACCAGAAAGCCACGGCUAACUACGUGCCAGCAGCCGCGGU
rnacentral:rRNA from 1 species